GGGAUCGGAGGAGCUCUGUGUGCACCUGGAAGCAAAGAUGUAGAGGGGUUUUGGAAACUUGGCAUAUCUUUUACUGGGAGAAAGACUGAAUCCCUUUUCUAGCUCACGUUACGCUGCACGGGUCCACGUCUUGUAAACCAGUGAGGAACGGUGGGAGAGUUCACUUUUUUGCCUUCAGGUUUCCUUGGAGUUAUACCUGACGGCCAAGAAAACUAGAAUUUCAAGAUGUUUUUAUUUGAAAAGUCACAAAAGGUUUUUAAAGUAUUUACACUCUUCAACAUUGAAAUUUCAACAUCAAGAAUGAAAAGACAUGGCAUUAUGGAAAUCACAGGAUCGAUAGACAUAUAAAUGAUAUGCAACACAUUCAAAACAUCUCAAUUUGUCCAGUAUGGGGUAUAAGUGCCACGUGCAGAUAUACACACACUUCCACUUCUUGGCAUGCCAUCAAAGAGGUUAUUAAUGGUGGUCUGAGGAAUGUUCUGCCAUGCUAAAUGCACUUGGGCACGCAAAUGAUCAAGAUCAGCUGAUGGCAGCUCCAUUUGCAAUUUCCAUCCAAUUUCCCAGAAUUGCUUGAUGGGAGACAAGUCUGGAGGCACUGCGGCCAUGGUAGCACGUUUACACACAUCCUGCUCACAGUAGCAUAAGAAAUAUGCAGCCUGGCACAGUUAUUGAAAAAUGUCUCUUGGGAGACUUUGGAGAAGUGGCCGUACCACUGGUUACAUGACCGAAUCAUAUGAAGCUGAGCUGUUAGUGUAUCUAUGAUCACAACAAUGUUAUAAUGUACAGAGCAGGUUGAUGGGAGAUGAUUGUGUCAGGACCGGCUCAUGUAAAAUCCCUGCUGUGUGGAUAGUAACACAAUUAUACAGUUUUUGUAUUAAAGCUUUAUACUUUAAUGUUUAGUCCUUGUGCGCUCUAGUAAUCCUUAGCCUUUAUAAGAAUGUUAUGCUUCUUCAUGGAAGAAUAGGAAACCAUACCUCACAUGUAAGAGACCAGUAGACAGUACGACCUCAUUGACAUCUGUGUCUUUUGGUGAGUAUCUUGUAUUGGCAACAACACAGACUGCAGAACUGGACUUUACCUUUGCCAGUCCAAUAGAUAACAAUAGAUCUUGGUACUCAUACCCCAAGGACAUCCAGAAGGGCUGAACUGCCCAACAGACUGUUGCAAACAUAUCACAAAUGAAACAUGUUUCAACACUGGCAAAAAACAUGACACUGAAACAAAAUCACCGGUGGAUAGGAACUGAAUGCUGUGGGUCACAGAAGGAGAUAAUCCAUCAAUGGAGUGGGUGGCAGAUGUGUGGCACAUGUGAAGAUAGUGAAUGAAUGAUAGUGAGCAGAAAAGAGGCAAUAUUGAACUUACUCGAUUUGUAUUUAAGUAAAAAAAAAUCAGCCAGGACAAAGCAACAGACAAAAACCAAACACAGCAAGAAAUGGUGGAAAUACAGUUCCCAGAAUAAACAUAAAACACACAGGACUAGAACCAAAAUGCACAUGGCAAACACUAUACCAAUAACUAGAAUGGAGUAAAGUCUGGAUAUAUAAAAGUCUCAUCUAUCAGCGACUCCACCCUUAUCAAUCAGAGAAGGCAAUAACCACACACAGAUUCAGAAGGCAAACGCUCAAACAACAUUAGAAUUUAAUUAAGAUAUGGUCAUGUUUUCCAUGUUUUAGACCUACUCCUAAGUUUGGGUUAGAAAUACGGACAUUACAUACUGACCAAAAUACACAUAUAGUAUGUGAAUAAGACUCUUUAAUAAGCACCUGCUGUAGGUUGAUUUUGCCAAAGGGACAUCGCCGGGUAUUCAAGGCAGAGAAGGAUUUGGUAGAUCUAUGAAUAUUUUGUGUAACAAAUUAUUACAAAUUUAAGUUAUUAUUUUCCCCAUCACCUUUAUCUUUCUAUACUGUACAAAUGAAUAUAAAAAUAUCAAUAUGUCCACCUAUGUUACCUAAAAGUCUCUAAGGGAAGUCCUUCCUUUUUUGCUAUGUUCCUCUGAAUUCUCCUGCAGUGUGGGUGGAACAGUGUCAGGUGGUGCCUCGAGCCCACCAGUAAAAUUCAUUCUGGAAGCCCACUGUACAGCUACAUGCAAAUAUUACCUACUCACAUAGCGGCAGGCAGCAAUAAGACACUCAAGAUGAUUCAUUAUGGUGAUUCCUGCAAAAACUUUGAGAAGUUGGGUCCCUGGGGAAAAAUGAUACGGCCUGGCUUGCCUUUGUACUGAGGGCCCAUCUUUGUCAGUGGACCACCAAGGUAUUCACCUGUUUCCCUGUGGGUGAGUCCGAGCCUGGAGUUGAGGUAUGAAUACAGUAGGAAGCAAGGUUCAUUGUGACAAUUCAUCUUCACUGCUCUACAGUAAACAAGGCUCUUAUUUUCUUCCUCAAAUGCACAAUACUUUUCCUCCAUUGAUCCUGAUCACUGUUGACCUCAGGUUAAUCGAAAUUGGGUGUUUUUUUUUCUAUGUGAGUUUCAAAAUUUGAUUUUAGGAUGUUGUAAAACAUAUGGUACCUAAAGAACAUCAAAAUCAUUUAUCUCCCGUGUGAUUUUUCUCAUGUGUAACAAGACUUGACUUUUGUCUAAAAUAUUUCCCACAUUCUGAACAUGUAAAUAGCUUCUCUCCUGUCUGAAAUCUCUGAUA